GCAUGUAAACACAUACCUAGAAAAGAGAUGUAAGCUCAUCAUUAUGUUGUUUAACUUCGCGCCAUCAACAAAUCAGAAACGGUCAAUUUGCUUUCUUUAUCUACCUAUCUCGCUUGGAAGCAUCUAAAAAAGAAUGCCUGAGUUCUCCUCACCCAUUAUAUUCGUUACGUUCAAUUGCCAAUUUAUUCAGCAAUAUUUUAGUUUUAUAAUUCACCCAUACCAAUAACAUAGUUAAAAAAUGUGCCAUGCUAAUUUUCCUAACAUUUUAGAUCAUAUACCAAUACAUAUUGGUAGUAAGCAUAAGUAAAUAAAGAAAACGGCGACAAAAAACUCCUCCGCCAUUGUAUUCAGCUGUUUUAUUCAGCAUUCUUCUUGUUUCAGACAAUUUCCAAAAGCCAAAGUCAGUCCAUCUCAAGUGUUCACUUACAAAGGUUCGGUCUACGCAAUUGAAAGUGAGUUCAAAUUUUAAACAUUAUUGCAGUAUCUUGUGCUUAAAAAAGUAAGUUUUGUAUUAAUAUUUUAAUUUCAAGUUCUUAUGGUGAUUAAAUUUAUUAAAAUGUGUAACAAUUUAUUUUUUUGCAUCGUCUUUUCGGUGACUCAAGAUAAAACUCCCUAGUUAAUUUUGUUUAUUGUAUUAAAUUUCUCAAAAUGUGCAACGCUGCUUCGUGGCUGCGCCGAUUUCUUUAUUUGUUUAUAUUUUAUAUUUUUGUUUUAAUAAUUGCAUUUGGUUCAAUUUGGAUUGUGUCGCGGUGAUUUUGUAUUCAGGGAGUUUUAAUUUACUAUCGAACGGUACGCACACAGGAAUAUAUUAUAUGUAUACAUAUGCAUGUGCAUGCACAUUAGGGUGCGUUUCUUGCGACUAUUUUUGUUUGAAAAUUUUGAUGGAAACAUACAUUUUAGCCCUCAACAUCAAUAUUAUCUUAAUAAUCCACGACAUCUUUUCCAGAUAUUGAUCAUCAAUCGAUACUUUUACAGCUGAGAGAGAUAAUACUAUAAAAUAUCGCUGAGUCAUUCAAAUUUAAAGAAAGUAAAAUAAGUUUCCAUGUAUAAAUGGCAAAUAUCCCAUGCCGUAGACAGUUGCCAAAAACAGUUUCCAUCUGAAGUAUACGACUAUUUUACGCAGUUGAAAGUGAGUUCCAAUUUUAACCCGCAAAUACCUAAAAUUUUUUAAAUUAUUCAAGUACCUACUUGCCAAACAAAUUUGUGGCUGCGCCGAUUACAUUUGCAUAACAGGGGUUAGGCACAAUGGACACUUUUAGAGAAAAACCCUUUAAAACAUCGAAGACUUCGAUACAAUUCUUCAAUUUGUACAGAAGAUCAAUCAAACGCAAAAUGUUCAAUUAAAAAUGUCUUAACACAGCAAGAAGCUUGAAAGUGCUUAUUCCUUUUUGAUUUUUGUUUCGUGUUCAAGCCAAAUUCAAGAAAACUUGAUGGAGGUAAGGAAAUUACUUCAAGUCAAAAAACAAACCUUACCUUAAUGCUUUAUGGAGAAAAUAAAGCUGAAAACUCGGAAGCGUAUUUAGCUAUCGAUGACAGUCUAUACACAUGCGAAGUGCUCAUAAGGACAAUAGAUGCACGUUUCAAGAACUGCUACUAGCAUUGAACGCCCAAUUUCAUGAGUCAUACCAUCAAAUUCAGUACCUUACACUACAAACAUUAUACUACAGUUAAUUGACUCAGAAGACACCUUACGUAAGUCCUAAGCAUUACAAUUAUUUUUAUUCUAAAAUACAAAUAAAAAUCAAGUUUGUAUAACUUAUUUGUAAAGAAAAUCAUUUAAAUUUCAUUUAUAAGAGGGUUUAUAAUUUGCUUGAUAGAGAUCAAAUCGUUAUUUUAUUCAUAACUCAUGACAUGAGGUAUUUUAUAAAAAUUACAAUUAUCUUUUAUAUUUUUUCUUAAGUGUUUGCUUAAUAACUUGCAAUAAUUAAAAGUUUAGUUUGUAAAUCAAAGUUAUGGCUUAAUUGAAAUAUAAUGUACCAAACAAUUAAAGUUUUUAUUAUUUGUAAGACAAAAGAAGAUUUCACUGGUCCUUCCAGAAGAAAGGUCAAUAAUUUAUCGACAUUUAUUCAAUUUUCGGAUACCUUUUGAUUUCACUAUUAAAUUCUUUUGGGUAAGGACUAUCUGAAUUUUCGCAAAAACGUUUCAGAUUUAAUAUUGCAAUUUAAAGUUGAAGAUUUCAUAGGGUAAGUAUUUAUUGAUAAUUUAAUCUUUUCAAGUAUCUUAUUUUUCAGAUUCAUAUCUUCCAAAUAAUUUAUUGAAAUUUCUUUUAG